rnacentral:lncRNA from 1 species
UGAGUGUAUAUCAACACCGUACUAUUAAUUUGGGGUCCAAGGUCCAAGAAAUUGAAUUGGCCAUUUGGAAUUUUAAAACCUUAAUUUCAUUCCACCUAUCAUUAAUUUAGUUAAUUGAAAUGGGUUAUGUUAAAUGGGCUUGGAUCUGGGUCAUAUAAUUAAACCUUAAGUUUCUAUCAUUUUAGUUUCUUUCUAUUAGCUAUAUAUGUAAGCAUCCCACUUUGUUUGAAGUUUGGAAGGUUUUUUUUUUUUUUUUUUAAUUUUUUGAAGCUUGAAAUUUUUCGAAUUGGACUUUGAGUUUAGGUUGGGUCUUUAAACCAAUUUUAGAUUGGUUCUCUUUUUAUUUUAUUUUUAUUUAUUUCAUUUUUAAAAAAAAAUUGAAAAACGGAAAGUAGAAAAUAAAAGAAAAACCAAAAAAUUUGCAGAAGAUUUUCAAGUUGAUGUGGAUUGACAUUCGUUAGAGGAUUAGGAUGAACAUUCCUUUUUGGAAUUGAAACUUUGGGAUCGCAUACUUCUUUUUGGAUUGAAAUUAAUUCCUUAUAAAAUAAACAUAAUUAUACGCAACAAAAAAAGCAAAGAUACGAAGGAGUAAAAAUUUUGAAGGCUUUGAAUCCAAUUUAAGUGCUGUUUCUAUCUAGUUUUCGAGAUAAAAAAAAAGGGGGGAAUAUGAAGCAAAGCAAGGGAAAGCUGAAAAUCACGAAAAAAUUUAGUAGCAAAUAUCUGUUAGGGUUUCAGUACAGCUUUCUUAAGAUUUCACUCUGGUUUUUACAAAUGUAUUAGGGACAUUUUUUUGUAAAAUCUAAGACCAAUAAAAGAUUAAGAGUAUCAAUAGGAGUUUUCUAGUGUAACUUCGAAAAUUUUCGAUAGCCGACGGAUGGCGAUGAAAGAGGCAUACUGUGGCGCCUAUCAUCGAUUUCUUGGUUCAAGGUUGGUAAUUGGGUUCAUAUGAAUUUUGUUUCUAGUAUUCAAAGUUUUUGGAGAGAUGGUAGAGAGAAUAAGGGAAGAGAGAGAAAAACAAAAUGCAAAAUGAGAGAAAAAAAAAAAGGAAAAAAGAAAAAGGGCUUUUAUACAAUAAGGAAAAU